rnacentral:rRNA from 1 species
AUUGAACGCUGGCGGCAUGCCUUACACAUGCAAGUCGAACGGCAGCACGGGAGCAAUCCUGGUGGCGAGUGGCGAACGGAUGAGUAAAGUAUCGGAACGUGCCCAGUCGUGGGGGAUAACGUAGCGAAAGUUACGCUAAUACCGCAUACGAUCUAUGGAUGAAAGCGGGGGAUCGCAAGACCUCGCGCGAUUGGAGCGGCCGAUAUCAAAUUAGGUAGUUGGGGGGGUAAAGGCUCACCAAGCCGACGAUCUGUAGCUGGUCGGAGAGGACGACCAGCCACACUGGGACGGAGACACGGCCCAGACUCCUACGGGAGGCAGCAGUGGGGAAUUUUGGACAAUGGGCGCAAGCCUGAUCCAGCCAUGCCGCGUGCAGGAUGAAGGCCUUCGGGUUGUAAACUGCUUUUGUACGGAACGAAAAGGUUUGGCUUAAUACGUUGAACUCACGACGGUACCGUAAGAAUAAGCACCGGCUAACUACGUGCCAGCAGCCGCCGUAA